rnacentral:rRNA from 1 species
AGUGAACGCUGGCGGUAGGCCUAACACAUGCAAGUCGAACGGCAGCACAGUAAGAGCUUGCUCUUACGGGUGGCGAGUGGCGGACGGGUGAGGAAUACAUCGGAAUCUACUUUUUCGUGGGGGAUAACGUAGGGAAACUUACGCUAAUACCGCAUACGACCUACGGGUGAAAGCAGGGGAUCUUCGGACCUUGCGCGAUUGAAUGAGCCGAUGUCGGAUUAGCUAGUUGGCGGGGUAAAGGCCCACCAAGGCGACGAUCCGUAGCUGGUCUGAGAGGAUGAUCAGCCACACUGGAACUGAGACACGGUCUAGACUCCUACGGGAGGCAGCAGUGGGGAAUAUUGGACAAUGGGCGCAAGCCUGAUCCAGCCAUACCGCGUGGGUGAAGAAGGCCUUCGGGUUGUAAAGCCCUCUUGUUGGGAAAGAAAAGCAGCAGGUUAAUACCCCGCUGUUCUGACGGUACCCAAAGAAUAAGCACCGGCUAACUUCGU